CGGCGUGCUUAACACAUGCAAGUCGAACGGAAAGGCCCUGCUUUUGUGGGGUGCUCGAGUGGCGAACGGGUGAGUAACACGUGAGUAACCUGCCCUUGACUUUGGGAUAACUUCAGGAAACUGGGGCUAAUACCGGAUAGGAGCUCCUGCUGCAUGGUGGGGGUUGGAAAGUUUCGGCGGUUGGGGAUGGACUCGCGGCUUAUCAGCUUGUUGGUGGGGUAGUGGCUUACCAAGGCUUUGACGGGUAGCCGGCCUGAGAGGGUGACCGGCCACAUUGGGACUGAGAUACGGCCCAGGCUCCUACGGGAGGCAGCAGUGGGGAAUAUUGCACAAUGGGCGGAAGCCUGAUGCAGCAACGCCGCGUGCGGGAUGACGGCCUUCGGGUUGUAAACCGCUUUCGCCUGUGACGAAGCGUGAGUGACGGUAAUGGGUAAAGAAGCACCGGCUAACUACGUGCCAGCAGCCGCGGUGAUACGUAGGGUGCGAGCGUUGUCCGGAUUUAUUGGGCGUAAAGGGCUCGUAGGUGGUUGAUCGCGUCGGAAGUGUAAUCUUGGGGCUUAACCCUGAGCGUGCUUUCGAUACGGGUUGACUUGAGGAAGGUAGGGGAGAAUGGAAUUCCUGGUGGAGCGGUGGAAUGCGCAGAUAUCAGGAGGAACACCAGUGGCGAAGGCGGUUCUCUGGGCCUUUCCUGACGCUGAGGAGCGAAAGCGUGGGGAGCGAACAGGCUUAGAUACCCUGGUAGUCCACGCUGUAAACGGUGGGUACUAGGUGUGGGGUCCAUUCCACGGGUUCCGUGCCGUAGCUAACGCUUUAAGUACCCCGCCUGGGGAGUACGGCCGCAAGGCUAAAACUCAAAGGAAUUGACGGGGCCCCGCACAAGCGGCGGAGCAUGCGGAUUAAUUCGAUGCAACGCGUAGAACCUUACCUGGGUUUGACAUGGAUCGGGAGUGCUCAGAGAUGGGUGUGCCUCUUUUGGGGUCGGUUCACAGGUGGUGCAUGGCUGUCGUCAGCUCGUGUCGUGAGAUGUUGGGUUAAGUCCCGCAACGAGCGCAACCCUUGUUCACUGUUGCCAGCACGUUAUGGUGGGGACUCAGUGGAGACCGCCGGGGUCAACUCGGAGGAAGGUGGGGAUGACGUCAAGUCAUCAUGCCCCUUAUGUCCAGGGCUUCACGCAUGCUACAAUGGCUGGUACAGAGAGUGGCGAGCCUGUGAGGGUGAGCGAAUCUCGGAAAGCCGGUCUCAGCUCGGAUUGGGGUCUGCAACUCGACCUCAUGAAGUCGGAGUCGCUAGUAAUCGCAGAUCAGCAACGCUGCGGUGAAUACGUUCCCGGGGCUUGUACACACCGCCCGUCAAGUCAUGAAAGUUGGUAACACCCGAAGCCGGUGGCCUAACCGUUGUGGGGGAGCCGUCGAAGGUGGGACUGGUGAUUAGGACU
rnacentral:rRNA from 1 species